AUCUAGGCAUAGGCAACAAUACAUUCGAUUAAUUCUUCUAAUUACCUCUCGCGAGAAAAUGAUCCCACGCAAGAAAAGAAUUGUACCAUACGAAAUAACAUAAUACGAAAUAACAUAAAAACAAAUUUGAAUUUAUUAAAAAAAAUGCACCCUUUUUGACAGGAGUCAAUAAGAAAUAUUUGUAUUUGAAUCAGAUCAGAUUUCACUGAAUGUAGUAGUAUAACAUGCCAACGAAAAGGACUAUUCCAACAAUCGAUUCAAUAUGAAUGACUCGCAAUUUAUUCAAUUGCGGGGUAAUAAUCAUUAUAUAGAUAUAGGAAUAUAGAUAUAG
rnacentral:tRNA from 1 species